rnacentral:rRNA from 1 species
UACGUAGGGGGCAAGCGUUGUCCGGAUUUAUUGGGCGUAAAGAGCGUGUAGGCGGUUCGGUAGGUCCGUUGUGAAAACUCGAGCUCAACCUCGAGACGCCGAUGGAAACCCCCGAACUAGAGUCCGGAAGAGGAGAGUGGAAUUCCUGGUGUAGCGGUGAAAUGCGCAGAUAUCAGGAAGAACACCCGUGGCUAAGGCGGCUCUCUAGUACGGUACUGACGCUGAGGAGCGAAAGCGUGGGGAGCGAACAGG